GUCUGGGCUUCUCCAACAGCAGGACUUCUACAGUAACCAGACUCCAUCCAAGUUCCUAUAGCGGUCGACCGCCUUCCAAAUUUCAUCCGAGCUUCUACAGCAAUCGAAUUCCAUCCGGGCUUUCACGACAACCGAUCUCCAUCCGAGCUUUUAUAGUAAGCGGUCUCCAUCCAAGCUUCCACGACAAUCGAUCUCCAUCCGAGCUUCUACAGUAAGCGGUCUCCAUCCGGGCUUCCACGGCGACCGAUCUCCAUCCGAGCUUCUACAGUAAGUGGCCUCCCUUUGGACUCCCACAAGAAUCGGACUUCGUUCGAACUUCUACAGCAAGUGGAUUCCAGAUGAACUUCUACAAUGGAUGGGCUUCAGCAGCUGGAUUUCUAUGGUGACUGACUAUCUCUGGUGUCUUCCGUACCUCUC
rnacentral:lncRNA from 1 species